rnacentral:rRNA from 1 species
UUGACCUCGGAUCAGGCAGGAGUACCCGCUGAACUUGA